ACGAAGGUCCCAAGCGUUGUUCGGAUUUACUGGGCGUAAAGAGUCUGUAGGCGGUGGGGUAAGUCAGAUGUGAAAUCCCGGGGCUCAACCCCGGAACUGCAUCCGAUACUGCCUUACUUGAGGGUCGGAGGGGAGUCUGGAAUUCUCGGUGUAGCAGUGAAAUGCGUAGAUAUCGAGAGGAACACUAGUGGCGAAGGCGAGACUCUGGACGACAACUGACGCUGAGAGACGAAGGCCAGGGGAGCGAAAAGGAUUAGAUACCCUUGUAGUCCUGGCAGUAAACGGUGCACGCUUGGUGUGGGAGGGUUCGACCCCUUCUGUGCCGGAGCUAACGCGUUAAGCGUGCCGCCUGGGGAGUACGGUCGCAAGAUUA
rnacentral:rRNA from 1 species